UACAGAGGUCUCAAGCGUUGUUCGGAUUCAUUGGGCGUAAAGGGUGCGUAGGCGGCGCCGUAAGUCAGGUGUGAAAUUUCGAGGCUUAACCUCGAAACUGCAUUUGAUACUGCGGUGCUUGAGGACUGGAGAGGAGACUGGAAUUCAUGGUGUAGCAGUGAAAUGCGUAGAGAUCAUGAGGAAGACCAGUGGCGAAGGCGGGUCUCUGGACAGUUCCUGACGCUGAGGCACGAAGGCUAGGGGAGCAAACGGG
rnacentral:rRNA from 1 species